AUUGAACGCUGGCGGCAGGCUUAACACAUGCAAGUCGAGCGGAGAUGAGGUGCUUGCACCUUAUCUUAGCGGCAGACGGGUGAGUAAUGCUUAGGAAUCUGCCAUUUAGUGGGGGACAACAUUCCGAAAGGAAUGCUAAUACCGCAUACGUCCUACGGGAGAAAGCAGGGGAUCUUCGGACCUUGCGCUAAAUGAUGAGCCUACGUCGGAUUAGCUAGUUGGUGGGGUAAAGGCCUACCAAGGCGACGAUCGGUAGCGGGUCUGAGAGGAUGAUCCGCCCCACUGGGACUGAGACACGGCCCAGACUCCGACGGGAGGCAGCAGUGGGGAAUAUUGGACAAUGGGCGGAAGCCUGAUCCAGCCAUGCCGCGUGUGUGAAGAAGGCCUUUUGGUUGUAAAGCACUUUAAGCGAGGAGGAGGCUACUAGUACUAAUACUACUGGAUAGUGGACGUUACUCGCAGAAUAAGCACCGGCUAACUCUGUGCCAGCCGCCGCCGUAACAC
rnacentral:rRNA from 1 species